GUCUUCAUUUUACACUUUAAUUCCAUGGUACUGCAUGCAGGGAUGGGAUCUUUGUUUUUUUUACUGGCAUGAAAACAUGGCCACCUUUAAACAAGUAUUGUCAUCUUUCUCAAUGCAAAGACUAAACAGAGUUCCUCCUGCUGACAGAAGAAGAUGAUGAAGAAUGAGAAAAAAGAGAAGACGGUGAUGAAGAAGUGGACUAAGCAGGAGGAGUAGUAGAAAGAGAAGAACAAGAACGAGAAGAAAGAAAGAGGAGUGAGCGGAAGAAGGAGAAGAACAUGAAGGAAGAGAAAAUGAUGAGAAGAACGAGAAGGUGUUUCUUUAUGGAGAGUGUUUAUUCAUGGAUGUGCUACUAAUCAAAGAAUAGGUGAUGUUGGUUUUGUCAUUUCCAACACAAUCUAUAAGUGCAUCCAGAAGGUCGAGGUCAUCUCUGAAAGGAUUCUUCAUGCAACAUUCCAUGGAGUCCCAGGCUUCCCAUCACUGUUGUGUACACUCCAACAGACUGUGGUCCAUCAACAGCUAAGAAUGACUUCUCUACUUCUCUUGCAGAACAUUUAGAGUAAGUCAAGAGACAUGAUAUCAAUCUUGUUAUCUGUUAUUUCAAUGGCAGAAUAGGUGCAGACAUCAAACACACCCUGAAGGCACUGUUACCUUGCCCAGACAAAUAAUAAUGCUAAUAGAUAAGGUUAACUUGUGCAUGGAACUCAACCUUCGUCCAGUACAGUCAAGAUUUCCCCAUCCACAUCAGCCUGACCUCAUACUAAUCAACAGUAAGUGGGUCAAUUCCCUGCGUAACCGUCGGGCCUACAACUCCGUUGAACCGGACUCUGAUCUCCACAUCCAUCUCCUUCCAAGUCUAAGAACUAAUAAGAAGAAGAUAUGCAAGAGACCAAAGUACAAAGGGGGAGAAGUUGCAGAACCAAGGAUGAAUUCCAGCUUGAAUUUUCAAAAGGCUUUGAAUCACUUGCACUGGAAGACCUAUCUGUAGAUUUGUCAGAGCAGUACGAGUCAUUUGAAACCACAGUAAGAGACGUGGCGGAGAACGUUUUUGGCAAGCAGGAAACCCAUGGCUUGCCCAGCUGGUUGACUGAGACCACCAAACUCAAAAUACAAAAAGAUGAGGCAAAGAAGAGAUUCUAAAGAACAAAGUCGCCUCAAGCCAGAGCAGAGUUGGAGGAACAUGAAGGCCAGACUCACUGACUCUUACGAAGUAGACACGACUGCUGUGCUUGACAAACCAAUGGAAGAUCUGUGUUCAUCUGACGAGAGAGGACACUAAACAACCACUUGGAAUAUAAACCAUUCAUUGUCUGGGAGGAACACAUGGGCCAAUGUCAAAGUGAAACUGAGGAAUGGCGAGCCACCCAAGAAGGAAAAAUAUAUUUUUGAGGAGUGGAAAAUCUAUUUCAGCUGAUUUCUGAACAAUGAUAGUGGCUUAAUUACAUCCGACCUGGUGUACCUCCUCCGGCAAGAAAAGACCUUUCCAUCAGUAGGUAAAUGUGCUAAUUGUGUCAAAGUGCGUUCAGUACCUUGAAGGUAGAAAAGAACGAUACAAGUUUCACCCAUUUACCAUUCCAUUCAAGAAGAAGUAGUAGUAGUGCCUACUUCUCCUUCUUCUCCUCCAGGAAAAGGAGAAGUCGGCCCUACUUCGACUAAUCCUUCUCCUUUGCAGAAGAAGUAGUAGAAGAGGAGGCGCAGAAAGAGAAAGAAAUUGCAUGAUCAUUUGAUUACAUGAUGGCGUGUGUUGUUCCUGUCACAAUAUGGAGGAGGUCAUGUGCUGUGUGUGUGUGGGCGUGUCUGACCAGGAGUCAUGGAGUGAUGUUGCCUUAUGUCAUUGAAUGAAUCAGGUUAAGUCAGAGUGAAGCAUGCUGGGAUACGCUCCUGUUUUUUCUUGAAAUACUGACCACCUGAAAGUGACUUCUUCGUUCCGACACGACCUCUCGAGCGUGUCGCUCAUCGCCUUGAUGACGUCAUCAUUUCAUCUCUCGUUGAAAGUCAAAGUUUUCAUGGUUAAAACAAUUUCACAUCUUUGAUGCUCAAAAUCAAUGGUGUCCUCAUGUUGACAUAUAAUGUAUACCUUAAAUCAGGGGUCACCAACCUUUUUGAAACCAAGGGCUACUUCUUGAGUACUGAUUAAUGCGAAGGGCUACCAGUUUGAUACACACUUAAAUAAAUUAAGGAUUAAGGAUCGGAAAUCUAAAGGGAACGUCCUUUCGAAUGGAAUGCAAAGUGCCUGUUUUGUGGACAGAUGGACCAGUUAACAUACUUGGUGUUGUUGUCCCAGAAAAUCUGGAAGAUCUAGGCUCAGUAAAUUAUGAUAAUCGACUAAGAAAGCUGGACAAAAUUAUGCAAUUAUGGAAAGGGAAAUCCCUAACCUUGUAUGGUAAAAUGUCUAUUGCCAACUCGUUAAUUGUUCCUCAAUUUAUUUAUUUGUUUUUGUCAUUACCAGCUCCAUCACAAAACUUUUUCAAGAUUUAUGAGCGGAGGGUCUUCGAUUUUGUCUGGAACGGCAAACCAGAAAAGAUUAAAAGAAAGGUUUUGUACAAAGAGUAUGAAUAUGGGGGCCUGAAACUUCUCAACCUUGAAGCUAUGUGUCUGUCUUUAAAAGCAUCAAUUGUUCCAAAGAUGUAUUUAAACAUUGAGUGGUACACAAAUGUCCUGUUGGACAAAAAACAUGUACUGUAUCAAAAGAAAUUGUAUCCUUUUUUACAAGUGAUCCCCUCCCAGAGAGUCUGCUGGGAAACAUGGCGGGGUUCAUAAAGGAAACAAUUCACUCAUAG